rnacentral:rRNA from 1 species
GACGAACGCUGGCGGCGUGCCUAAUACAUGCAAGUAGAACGCUGAAGAGAGGAGCUUGCUCUUCUUGGCUGAGUUGCGAACGGGUGAGUAACGCGUAGGUAACCUGCCUUGUAGCGGGGGAUAACUAUUGGAAACGAUAGCUAAUACCGCAUAACAAUGGAUGACACAUGUUAUUUAUUUGAAAGGGGCAAUUGCUCCACUACAAGAUGGACCUGCGUUGUAUUAGCUAGUAGGUGAGGUAACGGCUCACCUAGGCGACGAUACAUAGCCGACCUGAGAGGGUGAUCGGCCACACUGGGACUGAGACACGGCCCAGACUCCUACGGGAGGCAGCAGUAGGGAAUCUUCGGCAAUGGGGGCAACCCUGACCGAGCAACGCCGCGUGAGUGAAGAAGGUUUUCGGAUCGUAAAGCUCUGUUGUAAGUCAAGAACGAGUGUGAGAGUGGAAAGUUCACACUGUGACGGUAGCUUACCAGAAAGGGACGGCUAACUACGUG